rnacentral:rRNA from 1 species
AGCCCUAAGUGGGUGGUAAACUCCAUCUAAGGCUAAAUAUGACCACGAGACCGAUAGCGAACAAGUACCGUGAGGGAAAGUUGAAAAGCACUUUGAAGAGAGAGUUCAAGAGUACGUGAAACCGUUUAGGGGUAAACCUGAGAAACCCGAAAGGUCGAAGGGAGAAAUUCAUUCGCGUUUCGCCGUAGGCGUGAGACGGUCGAGUGACGGGGGGCGUCCGCGUACCCCUGCGCCUUCCGUUUUUCGAUCCUGCGGCGAACGCGUGCACUUUUCUCCUGGUAGGACGUCGCGAUCCGUUGAGUGUCGGUCUACGGCUCGCGGUGGAGCCCGGACGUGUUUUACGCGCGUUCGGACCCGUGUGUCCCGGCCGACCCGCUCGACGGUAUACGAAAGGUUAAAGGCCGCUCUCGGAGCGUUCGGCUCGCGGCAAGCGCGUCAGAUGCGUUGGCGAUCGGACCCGGUGCCGAUUCUAACCUCUGGCGACUGUUGGCCGCGAAGUUCUCGAACAGACCUUAGACCGAUCAGCGACGCUAUUGUUUUGGGUACUUUCAG